AUGCUUUUUGAACACAUGCUUUGCAAGCGUGUCUGUGUCUAUAUAUAUGUGUGUGUGCGUGCAUGUUCAUACAGCUGUAGACGACAUACAGUGCCGCGCAGGAAAUCGGGAGUUGGCCUGAGACCUACCCAAUCAAAGAAUGCUUUAAAUCAAAGUUGUGCUGUUGACCACUGUUGGGUAUUUUUUAACAUAAAACGUUGGAUUAUAUGUAUGUGUGUGUGUGUGUGUCUGCUUGUCUGUACUGUGCAGUUGCGCAAAGUUUGUGUUUGGAGAAGGAAAUACCUUGACAGGUUUCUGGAACACCCGCCUGGGUACCCCCUCUCCAUCUCCCACUUUCCUCCUACUCUUUCUCUCCAUCUCAUUUCUUCUUUUAGUGUAGUUUCUAGUGUUAUUUUACACUCACGCCCUUCCUCUGGCUUAGAGCAACACUCUCCCUCCCCGUAACUAGUGUUGUGUAACUGCCAUUUGGUGAUCAGAAAACUUAACAUUUGGUAGAUGAAGUGAGAAAUCAUUGUAAAUCUCAUUCUGUAAUACUACUGAUGGUAUUAUGUCACUGGUUAUGUCACUUUCGCUUCCUGAAAUAAACUUUUCUUAAUUGUUUCCUAUAAAGUCAAAUGAUAAAUUCGACCUUGGCUCCAUAUAUUUAUAAAACAUGUCCUUACUGGUUGUGUACUCAUUCCUCUCCCCACACCCUGUUUUCUCGCUUCUCUUACUUUCCCUCCUACCUCCUUUCUUUUUUCUUUUCCAACAAUCAACAUUGUCGACAGUUUAACGCCAGAGAGAAAUGCGCUCACAUUUUUUUAUUGAUAGAUGUGUCAGUGUUCCAUAAUGAUGAAAGGUGGCAUUCCAGAAAGCUCACAGACAGGAGACAGGAAGUGCUGCUCAAAGGCCACAGGAAACAGGAAGCAAGUAGGGAUGAGCUGCAAUAGUCACUUACGGUUACUGAUGAGGAGACACGGGAAGUAGUCAGAAGAUGAGGUGAGAAAUCCUGAGCGAUAUAAAAAGGAAAAGGAGAGAAGGAGA
rnacentral:lncRNA from 1 species